rnacentral:rRNA from 1 species
AAUAGCUCACUGGUCGAGUCGGCCCGCGCGGAAGAUGUAACGGGGCUAAACCAUGCACCGAAGCUGCGGCAGCGAACGUAUCACUUAAAUUUGUUUGAGUGAAUAACGAUUGACGGAACGAAGUGACGUCAAUGCGUUAAUGAAAGUCGAGGCGAAAGCACGACAAAGCGAAUUUAAGGAUACGUUCGUUGGGUAGGGGAGCGUUCUGUAAGCCUGCGAAGGUGUACUGUGAGGUAUGCUGGAGGUAUCAGAAGUGCGAAUG